rnacentral:rRNA from 1 species
AGCAGCCGCGGUAAUUCCAGCUCCAAUAGCGUAUAUUAAAGUUGCUGCAGUUAAAAAGCUCGUAGUUGAAUUUCGGGACCAUCAUGUCGGUCGUGCCUCGGUACGUACUGGCAUUGUUGGUUUCUCCCUUCUGACGAACCAUGAUGUCAUUUAUUUGGUGUUGUGGGGAAUCAGGACUGUUACUUUGAAAAAAUUAGAGUGUUUAAAGCAGGCUCACGCUUGAAUACAUUAGCAUGGAAUAAUGAAAUAGGACGUUUGAUUCUAUUUUGUUGGUUUCUAGGAUCGACGUAAUGAUUAAUAGGGAUAGUUGGGGGCAUUAGUAUUCAAUUGUCAGAGGUGAAAUUCUUGGAUUUAUUGAAGACUAACUACUGCGAAAGCAUUUGCCAAGGAUGUUUUCAUUAAUCAAGAACGAAAGUUAGGGGAUCGAAGACGAUCAGAUACCGUCGUAGUCUUAACCAUAAACUAUGCCGACUAGGGAUCGGAUGAUGUUAAUUUUUAAUGA